AGUUUGAUUAUGGCUCAGGAUGAACGCUAGCGACAGGCUUAACACAUGCAAGUCGAGGGGCAGCGGGGCGGCAGGCUUGCCUGCCGUUGCCGGCGACCGGCGCACGGGUGAGUAACACGUAUGCAACCUGCCCGUGGCAGGGGGAUAAGCGGGGGAAACCCCGUCUAAUACCGCGUAACGCGGCCUAGGGACAUCCCAAGGCCGCCAAAGGGAGCAAUCCCGGCCACGGAUGGGCAUGCGGCGCAUUAGCUAGUCGGCGGGGUAACGGCCCACCGAGGCGACGAUGCGUAGGGGUUCUGAGAGGAAGGCCCCCCACACUGGUACUGAGACACGGACCAGACUCCUACGGGAGGCAGCAGUGAGGAAUAUUGGUCAAUGGGCGCGAGCCUGAACCAGCCAAGUCGCGUGAGGGAGGACGGCCCUACGGGUUGUAAACCUCUUUUGCCGGGGAGCAACGGGCGCCACGUGUGGCGCCACUG
rnacentral:rRNA from 1 species